rnacentral:lncRNA from 1 species
GGUGACAUGUUAGCAGUCUCCCAACAGGCCCAGAAUUCUAGGAAAUUAUCUUUCUAUGCUUGGCUUAUUUCACUUAACAAAAUAACCUCCAGUUCCAUCCAUGUUGUUGCAAAUGACUGGAUCUCAUUCUUUUUUUUAAUCACUGAAUAGAACUCCAUACCACAUUUUCUUUAUCCAUUCAUCUGGUUUUGGCCUUUUAGGUUGAUUCCAAAUCUUGGCUAUUGCGAAAAGUGCUGCUCUUCCUUCUUCCCUCCUCAAGCACAAGGAAGGAGUCACUUUAGUUGUUGUAAGCUGUGCAGCCUAUGGUUGGGAGAAGAGUGUGCAAGCACUCCCUUAGCCACCCUGGCUGGUGUCUCACAAGGGCCAGUCUACACUGAAAUUGUCCUUUCUUACCCAGCAGAGAAAUCUAAUUAUUGUAACCCUCAGAAAACCCACCGUAAUUACCCCUCUCUCUCAACAACAAGCUUUCUUCUUCUCAAGAGUCUCAGUUCUUCAUCAUGUAGGUCUUUCCAGGGCUGCUCAGGACAUGGCAGUUGACUUCCCCCAGAGCAAGUGGUCCAAGAGAGAGCAAGGAGGAAGCCACAGUGACUUUUAUGACCUACUUCAAAGUCUCACAGUCUCUUCCAUUUUCCUGUAUUAAAAGUAAGUCCCUAAUUGCUAAAAGAGUACAUUUUUAAAUGUUCUCACCACAAAGAAAUUAUAAGAGGUUAUGGAUAUGUUAAUUAGCUUGAUUUAAUAAUUCCAUAAUGU